GAAUUGAUCUGAAAAAAAUUAAAAUUUGAAUGGAAUGAGCAAAAUAAUAGGCUUAGUAAGUACGUCUAGUAGACUACACUCUUGGCAGGCAUAUACAACACCCAUUUAACUAUUCAAAGAUAUAAAACUUUUCUUUUCAUUUUCAUUUGAAGACUAUGAAAUGUAGAAAGAUUUAAAUUUGCUAAUUUGCCCCUUAUUAUCUCCUUAAUACCCAUUUAUCCAACCAAAUCUCUCAUGAUUACCCCUUGAAAUUCCACCCAUUAGUUUAUCCCUUAAAUACACGUCUCAAUUUAUCUCCCAAAACCCCUCUAAGUUCACUUUAUCCCUCAUAUUCCACUAUAACCGAAUCUUAUUCUCAAUAUCACAAUUCAAUUUCCCUCGUAAUUCACGACUAAAUUAAGGCAUCUGUAACCCUUCAGUAGGUGACCCUGAUCCUCGAUUUACUCCCCAACACAAUCACCAUAUUAACAUUGUUAGUGUUUUAUUUGAUGUUGAGUAAUUUCAGUUUUCCUACUAUUCUUUCUAACUUUCAACUGUUGAUUCCUAAUCAUAUACGAAGUGACUAGCAAAACAAAUACCAUUUUGGGAUUUAGUUCCCCACUACGUUACUGGGAGACACACACAAUUCAUGCAACAAUUGGUCACAGCAGUCCAUCACUAGGUGACCCAAAACAGAACAUGCAUCCCAACCACAUCUGAAAGGGCUUUCAUCCACCCUCAGGUAGAGUUCAACCACCACUGAAUUUCACCCAUAUUAUUUUGACGUAUAUUGAGAGUUUUUGUUUGAAAGGUUCUAUUUACCUUUUUAUGUGUUUGUAUAGUGAUUUUUGUUUCUUGAGUUUUAUUUGUGUCAUUAAUUAUGCUAUACAUUUCUUGCUAUGUUAUCUGCAUUCUCAAGCACUUCUUACAUCUCUUUAAUUACAUACACUCUUUUCUAUCACUUUACAACACUUCCAUUCUCAAUGAAUUCCACACUAACUCAACUAUGUUUUAUGUUGUUAAUUUAAAAGUUUUCAAAUAUUCUAUUUAAUUUAUUGUAAUUUAUUUAUUUUGAUUUAUGUUAGUUUAUUUUGUGUUUUUAUUUGUGUUAUAAUUCUAUUUUGAAAUUUAUAAGUUUAUUGAAAAUUUAUUUUAUUUGUUGCUUUGUUUCAUUAUUUAUAAUUUUAUUCAAUUUAAACUCAUCUUCUUUACAUUUUACUAUUUCUUCGAUUUCCUAAUCUACUCAAAACACAUCCAAUAAACCAUCACAUUCAAACAACAAGGAAUCAUGAAUAAAUCGAUCACACAACAUGCAUUAUUAAUGAAAAUCCAUUUUCACAAUUUCCAAGUUACCUGAAUUAAUUACUAAUUCCCGAUUUCUUAUUCUUUAAGUCCUUUUUUAAAACUCUUCAAAAUUUGAUUUUGAAAACGUUCCUUGAUUUCUAUAACAUGUAUGUGUUGCUUCGUGUUAGCUACUACAUAUAUUUACCUCCAUUCCGGAUGACUAAAGCUCACUUUAUGAUCUUUUAAUGCCCUUUUUCCCAAUUCUACAUUGCCUACGCAAAAAUAAAAUAAAUUUUCAUAAAAUUUUUAUUACAAUUGAAAUUAAAUUAAAUUACUUAUCUAUCUAAAUUUAAUUUAUUUCUAGUUAAUUUGAACUAGAAAACCUUAGAUCUAUACAGUCACCCACGAAUGCAGGCACAACUACCUGCGCAUGCGGGCACAGUCCCCCCCAGACGCGGCACUGUCGCCCGCGACAACG
rnacentral:lncRNA from 1 species